UACGUAGGUGGCGAGCGUUACUCGGAAUUACUAGGCGUAAAGCGCGUGUAGGCGGGAGCUUAAGUCCGCUGUUAAAUCUCAUGGCCUAACCAUGAAAUGCCGGCGGAUACUGGGUUUCUUGAAUUCGGUAGAGGAAACUGGAAUUCCAGGUGUAGCGGUGAAAUGCGUAGAUAUCUGGAAGAACGCCAAAGGCGAAAGCAGGUUUCUGGGCCGCAAUUGACGCUGAGACGCGAAAGCUAGGGGAG
rnacentral:rRNA from 1 species